UGGAUUAGUGGCGAACGGGUGAGUAACACGUGAGCAACCUGCCCCUGACUCUGGGAUAAGCGCUGGAAACGGCGUCUAAUACUGGAUACGCGUAGCGAUCGCAUGGUCAGUUACUGGAAAGAUUUUUUGGUCGGGGAUGGGCUCGCGGCCUAUCAGCUUGUUGGUGAGGUAAUGGCUCACCAAGGCGUCGACGGGUAGCCGGCCUGAGAGGGUGACCGGCCACACUGGGACUGAGACACGGCCCAGACUCCUACGGGAGGCAGCAGUGGGGAAUAUUGCACAAUGGGCGGAAGCCUGAUGCAGCAACGCCGCGUGAGGGAUGACGGCCUUCGGGUUGUAAACCUCUUUCAGCAGGGAAGAAGCGAGAGUGACGGUACCUGCAGAAAAAGCGCCGGCUAACUACGUGCCAGCAGCCGCGGUAAUACGUAGGGCGCAAGCGUUAUCCGGAAUUAUUGGGCGUAAAGAGCUCGUAGGCGGUUUGUCGCGUCUGUUGUGAAAUUCCGAGGCUCAACCUCGGACCUGCAGUGGGUACGGGCAGACUAGAGUGCGGUAGGGGAGAUUGGAAUUCCUGGUGUAGCGGUGGAAUGCGCAGAUAUCAGGAGGAACACCGAUGGCGAAGGCAGAUCUCUGGGCCGUAACUGACGCUGAGGAGCGAAAGGGUGGGGAGCAAACAGGCUUAGAUACCCUGGUAGUCCACCCCGUAAACGUUGGGCACUAGUUGUGGGGUCCAUUCCACGGAUUCCGUGACGCAGCUAACGCAUUAAG
rnacentral:rRNA from 1 species